CAAAGAAGGCCUUGCCAAAUAUCCCAGAAUUCCUUACAAUUAAUAAGUCUUGCAGUUAGAGUUGCUCUCUUGGUCCUUUCUGAGGUUUACUCAUGAUCCUGCUUAGAAAAAUAUGGGGAAAUCUUUCUAGUAGUGAAACACAAGGUGUAGUAGAUUAUGUAACAGUCACAAUGCCUAUUCUUGCUAUCUGCAGCUUCCUUGAUGGGAUUCAAAGUGUUCUUUCAGGGUCUUUGGUUGGGGAUUGUUUCUGCAUUCAUGGUGCAAGUGAAAUUUUUUGCUGUCAUUACUAUCAGAACUAGCUGGGAGAAAGAAGCAACUAAACCAGCAAGGAGAGUCAAAAGUAGCAGAGUCCCUCCUAGAGAAGGUGUAGAAGGAGCAAAAGAUACUUUAGAGAAUGAGACUUAGUUUGAGUUUAGUAAUGAUGAAAAACUUUUACACUUAUAGCAAUAAACACAAUUUGA
rnacentral:sRNA from 1 species